rnacentral:tRNA from 1 species
GCUACCGUAGCUUAAUUAAAGUGUAAUGUUGAAGCUAUUACGAUGGGCCCUAAGAAGCCCCGGAAGCA